CCUGUUUCAGAUUCUGUGUCUCCCUCUCUCUGGCCCUCCCCCAUUCAUGCUCUGUCUCUCUCUGUCUCAAAAAUGAAUAAAUGUUAAAAAAAAAAAUUAAAAAAAGAAAAAAAAAGGGUCCAGUCACUUCUAACCCACUUUGUAUGCAUAUGUUCGAAUAUCAUAUUUUGUAUGCCUGUAUGUGUGUAAAUUCACCCAGGUAAGCAAAGUACCUUUGCAAAUCAGCAUUCUAUACAGAGCCACACUCACUCCUUUUAAAUGAGAGCAUGCUUUAGAGGGGGUUGCAUUCAUGUAACAGACUUGGAGUGAUAACUUGGCUCAAGUACCCCAGAGACCUAAACAAACGCACGAAUUUCUCCCUGCCUACUUUACUAUUUAAGGAUUGAAUUCCAACAUUAGGAAGAUUAAUUACCGCAUGCAUUGUAAUGAACAUGGCAUGUUUAGUAUGAUCACAUAUUACACCUCUGUCAUGAAUAGGGUUAUACUAUAAAGGCAAAUCAGCACUCCACAAAAUGAAGGCUAUUGGGAAGUUAGAUUCAACUUUAAUCCGUGAGGAGAUGCCUGCAAAGAAUUAAUGAAUAUAACCUCCUCAAGUGGACGGUUUGCUGGAGUAACAACUCUCACACCAUGCCUUCUCCUGUUCAGCUGUGUUCUCUCUGUUCUAUUUGCUUUCUUCAAUCCUUUUGCCUUGUAAUAUUUCUCCUUUCAUUUCCCAUGUCUAACUCUCCCACAUCGGUCCCACAUCUCCAACUGUCCAAAUGCCUCUACUUGGUUCUUCUCUAGGGUUAUCAUCUCUCUUGAUUUCUCAGCUUUCCUUAUAUGUUUUGACUGUCUCCAAUAUCCUCAUCUUGCCUGUUACUCUCCACAUUUAUAAAUGCAUUUUUGGGGGCCGGCUGACCCACACUUUUCUGAGGUCAGCUAGAGCAGGUUUCUGCUAAGGGGCAACCACAGGAUCACGGACAGAAAGACAAGUGUCCAUAUCUCUACACUUGAUCUAGGGAUCGGAUAUUGGUUCUCACCAAUGGUUGUUAAUCGUCCCUCAGAGCAUUUUGCUAACACUGAGAGAUGGCAACCAGGCAAGCCGCUUGAUGUGAGAAAAUAUCUCGGGCCACCCUUUUCCCUUUGCCACGGAGUAACUGGCUAGCUUUCCAGGGGCCACUUGUGGAAGGAAAUGGCAUUAUCUGUGAACACAGGUUCCAGAAUUGCAGUGAGAAAGUUGUUUUUCAGAAUCAGUUGAUGGCCCAUAUAAAAGUGUCAAGGGGGCAAAGGUGAAUAUAGAACUCAAAAUAUUUCUACUGUGGAAAGAAAAUUCAUAUGUACCUAGCAUGUGUCAUAAACACUGUCACAAUUAACGUGUAUCAUUACAUAAUACAGAGUUCAGAGACCUCGGUGUUGUUAAAGCUAUUUGGAGAUGGUGUUCUCAUUCUAAAAAUAUAGUACUUAUGACUUUAUGUGUAUUAUGUCUAGAAUAAUUAAGCUGAUCUCACAUGAAGCUUUGGCACUCUGUCUGCUAACAUCGUUCACGUGAAGUGUUUACAAAAGGGGGACUUUGAAUAUUUUCUACUGCAGCAAGUUGCCUACGAAUUUAGCCUAUUUUAAGUGAGAAAUUACAAAUGUAUGCAUCAAAUGAUACGCUACUUUUUCUAGGGCUUAGGAACUCCUGUUCAUUUCAAGAUACGAUCAUAGAAAAAGGGAGUAAGAGUAGAUAACAAAACAGAAAAGUCUACUUCUGAUAGCUAUAAGAUUGGAGCACAAAAAACAGAGAAGUCAAGGAAUGAAUUCAGAUGAAUCAGAUCAGCAGAGUACUAAACUUAAUGAUUUAGGGCCAAGAUGAUUUUGAAAGGGUCGAAACUAACAGAAACAGCAUACCUGUAUUCAUUUUGACCUUGGAGGGUUUGUUAUUAAAAUCUCCAGUUUUCCUGUAGAAAGAAAACGAUGCAUUAAUUUGCUCACUAGUAUGUGGAACAAAAUACCAUGAACAAGUGUUUUUGUUUUGCUUUUGGUGUACCUGGGAGUUAAUAGCACAUUACCGUUAGUCUUAUUUUAAAUCGGGGUGAAUUCUAAAUCGGGGUGAAUGUAUAAUUCUAUUCAAAUUAAACUUCAGUUACUAUUUGGUCCUUGCUCGUAAACAUAAACUUAGGUUUUUGCUUAAUGGUGACCACUAAUGGAUGAAAAUGGCGAGGAAUUCAACUGUGUUAAAAAUUAAAUUUCUUUCACAAACAUUUAUGCUAAGAGUUUUUGUUUUCUAAGCCCCAAAGGGCCAUUGGUUGUUAAGCGUCCUCUUCCAGAAUUUUGAAAGGUAGUCUGGUGCUUUGGAAUCAUGACCUUGCAUUGUUCAAUUUAUUAACAUUAUUUAAUUUAUUUUGUUUGAGAUCAUGACCUUACAUUAUUUAAUUUAUUACUGGGUCAGUUUCUUACCAGGGAAUAGUUAAUGAAUUGAGCAUGUAUUUUGAGGAAACAGUCAAGAAAGAUGAGAUGCACCUAUUUUUUCUUCUUAAGACACGGGAAAUAUAAAACCUAUUUCUGUUUCAGUACCUGAUGCUGUGGUUCUUUCCAAUUUAGUAUUUGCUGUGUAACAAUUGAGGUUAAUUCCCUAGAAAUGGUUGGUGGAAUGUUGCCGGCUGCAGAAAAAGUUUUAAGAUACUGUGCAUUAUUUUAUGUCAUGUGAGAUGACCUAGUUCUUUCCCUGGCGUAUUCUUUCAGCCCAUUUUUAGAGUUUCUUACUUCUCCAUACACCAAGACCAAAGGGGAAGGACGUGCUGUCAUAGGAAGCAAUUCUUUUAAGAGCGAGAGCUCUGAAAGAGAGGUUUACCCCCAGCCAACCUGCCUUUGCUCCUGAGUUGGAUGAACACAAACUUUUCCAGCCCCCAUAUAUUCGGUUUCCAGGUAUCCUAUUCUGAAAGAAGCAGAGGCAAAAUCCUUUCCUCAAGUUUGGCCAAGAAUUCUGUUCUCUGCAUUUAGAAAGAUAAGAAUCCACCUCAAGCCCUUUUCUGAAUGGGUUCCCUGAAUUGACAGCUGAUAUAUGACACGGACUCAGAGGCUCCUCGGACAUCACAGUUGAUAGUAAGGUCAUGGUUGUCCAUGUUCAGCCUUCAAUAACUAAAAAUUCCUCCCAACAUUCCCCAGCUAAUGGUGCCUGAAGAUGAGUCCUUAUUAUUCAAGAGCCAAAUCAUCCACAGCAUUUAUAUGCGAACGCUGGGGUAAGAACACAUUCAACAUCAUUUCUAGGAAUAAGGAGAGAUCAUUACCAUGAAUAGUGAAGAACAAAGAACAUGAGGUCAUUGAUUAUUUUUAUAAGAAUAUACAAUAUAUUUUUAACAAAAUUUAACCAAAACAUUCUUUUAUAUCAAAUAUCCUGAUACCUGGAAAAAUUUCCUGAGGAGGAAUAGCAUGUUUAAAAUGGAAAUUAGCAAUUUUUCUUUUGAGACUUUACAAAGCAAGCUAGUCAAAAUUGGUAACAGAUUUUUCCUGAAGACUAUACUGGUUAGAAGUCAAUCACUUGGUAAAUAAUUUUCUUUCUGGAGCUUUCCAAAGCCUCAAAGUCUGUAAAUCACUCUCUUCUUUAAUUAUAAAAGAAUGCUGACUUCUUUUCACCUUACAUGGUCAUGUGAUUUUAUUUAUUUAUAAAUAUUUAAUUUAAAUAUAUUCCUCUAGUGUCCUACCUUCAUUGGAUCUUUAACUUUUAUAUUGAGGAUGCUUAUAGGUUACAUCUAAAUACUUAAAAAUGAAUGCCUUUUUUCUCUAAAACAAAGUCAUUUGUUCAAAAGUACUAGAAAAAUUCCACUGGUUUCUAUUAUGUAAAUCUAAAGCCAAAUGGGUUCCCAAUGAAAAAAAAAGCAGAUUUCUAAUGGGGAUCUGAUGAGUCAGGCACAUUAUCAAAGAGACAAGUGAGGAGUUAAUAGAAUAUAGGAACACAUGUUACAGGUGAACUGAGUAGUGUUGGAAGGAUAGGUUACGGAGUCAGGCAGACCUAGAUGCAAAAUCCAAUUCUACCUAUUUCCAGUCAUCUAAACAAUUUAUACUAAUGUCGUGAUCUUCUUCUACAACAGCAACAGCAGCAGGAUCAAACCUAUCCCCGUCCCCUCUGCAGUAAACCAUCCCCAAAUUGGCAUCAUUCUCGUUCCCCGAUAUUUCAGGUACUUUGAGGCAUACCUUUUAUCUUGGACUGAGUCUUGACAAAAUGAUCUAGACUUCCCUGAAAGUAUAUAGGACAUUAUUUUAUUGCUUUAAAUUGAAGUCAGAUGGGGUGCCUGGUGGCUUGGUUGGUUAAGCAUCCAACUCUUCAUUUUAGCUCAAGCCAUGAUCUCAGGGUUCGUGAGA